rnacentral:tmRNA from 1 species
GGGGCCGAUCGGCAUCGACCGGAUAGGUUAGAUGCAGGGUGGCACGUCGAGGUGUGCGUUGGCCUCGUUAAACCACGCACAACACACACAAAUGCCAACGACACUGUCGCUGGUCGCAUCGGCUUCGCGCCGGCGCGCCUCGCUGCUUAAAGUAGCGACAUCCUUCGCUUAGUCGUCCUGAGCGCGGCGAAGGGUGCAUGAUAUUCAGGAUCGUCCAAGAAUGGUGUGUCAGCAUUCGCGGAUUAAAAAACACUGCCACUGGGUCCUGAUCCACGCUGUCGCUGGCGGGGGUUGGGACUGAGAUUAAAUCAGCGAACAAACGUGUAGAGGCUCUGUAUCGUCUAUCUCGGGACGGGGGUUCGAUUCCCCCCGGCUCCAUUG